ensembl:lncRNA
UUCUGUUCUUCAUGGCGAUGUUGCAUGACACUCCUCUCCACAGGCGCGCUGCUGUGACUGUUCAAGGCUUGUUCUUCCUUAAAAGUGCCAUGGUGAGAUGCUUUAGAUGGUGCUUUUGUCCACCCCUUCUCCAGGCUGAAUCCUGUGGAUCACCAGAUCACUCUGUGCGAGUGCACUGCUGAUAUGUCGAGUUCCGUAGACACAUGGUCGUGACCUGCUGAAUUGAGUGGUAAGGGGAUUUAAAUUUUAAACUAAAUUAAUCUGUUGAACAAGCUGAGCUGCUUGGUGUCAUUUAAGGAGUGCAAAUUUUUACUGUAAUUGCACUCUUGUAGCAGGCAGAAGGCAUUCCUGGUCUUAAGAGCUGUGGUUCAGCAUGGUGAGUAGUUUUUCCUUUGUUGUGAUGAGACCUAAGUGAUGCUGUGAUGAACCAAAUUCAACACAUCAUUCUUAUUGUGAAGUGAAGAAACUUUUUACCACUGAGCAUAAUUAAUUCUUCUGAAGCCUACUGGACAUUUUGUUGGGUUUCCUCUAACUGUUCUUUGUCUUCAAAGGUGCUGUGCAGUAGGUGCAAGAGGAAUGAGGUGAGGCAUUCCUCCUUGUUCACUUAAAGCCUAAACCCCAAGUUGAUACCAUCAUGAUAAACUGUGUGUUUUCGUGAUGUUUUUUUAACCUUGGGAUAGCAUAUGCAGGACUGGCACAGGUUUUAGUGUGUGCAGUCGAAAAGAACCUGACAAGAAGGCCUGCUACAACUGUUCACUUCAUGCCACUUAAAAAAAAAAAUAAUAAUAAUAAACUGUUUUGGUGAUGUACAUGUGACUUAUUUUGUGUGUACCUGUUGUGUAGGUUAAUGUUGGGGAAGGCUGUUCAUUUUGUGCAAGAUCAAGGAAGACCGACUUGAUGUUUUCCAUGUUUGCAUGUUAAAGACCUGACCCGUUGAAUAAAGUGGAAUUUCAGUGUUAAUGAAUGUCUGUUCAUUUGAAAUUAUUUUGUAGCCUGUGUUCUAUUCAGUUAAUUUUUUCGGAGCAGUGUUUCGCAUUCCUGCUUCUGCAGUAUCCCUGCCCUGUACAUUUGGAGUGGGGGUGGAGUCUGUAAGGGCAAUAUGAGGAAUAUCAGUUUUCAAAUACACUUCUACAAUAUGCCUCAUGAUGUAUAGGGUUGCUCAGAAACUGCUGCCAAAUGCAGUGGUGUUACUCUUUAAUAUAAAUUUGAAUAAAUAUUUUUAUUUGGGAGAAACUAACACAACUUUAAGAGUUUAGAGUACAUUUAAAAAUUGUAAGUGACCCUUAGCUUGUAUCUGUAAACAUCUGUUUAUUUUGAGCAGGUGUGGUGGUCUCUAAUUUUUAUACAUGUAAUGUAAAAAUUUGUGUUAAAAUAAAGCUUAUAACCUAAAUCCUUAUUUCCUGACUGAAAUUGACAGUAAAUGUGUUUUACAUAUUUGGAGAAUUAAAAGCGGUCACUUUAUAGAAUUGAACAGUGCAUAUUGCACACAUUUUAGGCUUGUAUGUUAAAAUAACCUGUUGCUAUAUAACAUGCAUUAUUGCAUCUCAAAAUAAAGGUUGGUUCCUCCAGGUUUGUGCUUAUGGAUUUCACCUGGCAUUGACACUGGCAUUAAUAAGAUCAAG